UACGGAGGAGGCAAGCGUUAUCCGGAAUUAUUGGGCGUAAAGCGUCCGUAGGUGGCUAGUCAAGUCUGCGGUCAAAGACUGGGGCUUAACCCUGGAAAGGCCGUGGAAACUGACGAGCUUGAGUGCAGUAGGGGUAGAGGGAAUUCCCGGUGUAGCGGUGAAAUGCGUAGAGCUCGGGAAGAACAUCGGUGGCGAAAGCGCUCUACUGGACUGCAACUGACACUCAGGGACGAAAGCUAGGGGAGCGAAUGGG
rnacentral:rRNA from 1 species